UCUCCCCAGGUCAGAACUUCCAGCUCCUUGGUCCUGACCUCGCAGCUGCCUCUCAUGCUGAUGUGUACCGGUUACGUCAAUCACAAGUGAACCACAGCUGGCCCGCCAUGAACUGGAAGGUUCUCGAACACGUGCCUCUGCUGCUGUAUAUCUUGGCAGCAAAGACCCUGAUCCUUUGCCUGGCCUUUGCGGGAGUGAAAAUGUACCAGAGGAGAAGCUUGGAAGGAAAACUGCAAGCUGAGAAGAAGCGGCAAUCAGAGAGGAAAGAGAACUGAAGAGACCUUAGAGGUACUGGGCUUUGCAGACAAAACCUGCCCAGAGGGCUGCAGUGCCCGGCCAAGGGUAUGGUGGCCUGAGAGCUCUGCAUCCUUGUUCUGUCACAGCAAGAGGGCACAUGGGCACUGCAGCUAGGGUGCAGAGCCAGAGCCUCGGCCCCGCUGCUGACCAAUUAGAGGAUCAGUCCUCUGCUCCCUGCCUGUCGUGCUUUAGUGGGGGAGGGUUCUGGAGCAUGUGUGGGGAAGUCAGGACUCAAGGGCCCUGGGAACUCUCCUUAAGGCCUUGCCACAGAUAUACCUGACUAUUUACUUUUCAUGUGGGAAUCUGUUUCUUCACAUUUCAAGCUGAACUCCGAGCCUCUCUUAGUAUCGGGAUUCAAAUAAGGUGAGCAAGGAUUCUAGAUUCUGGUUCCAGAAUCCAACUGGUUUCUCAUCAGAAUUUCUAUACAUGGCUGCUGGAUCCCGCUGUGUUGCUUGUUAAGACCACAGCUUCCUAGGGUCCAGCCUCAGGAAAGGGCAGUGUGUCCACCAUUCAGUCUGGGCAGUUAGUCCUUUGAACGUCCAACAGGUGAUUCCUAUAUGGUCUGGUCAGCUCUGGGUUACCGUGGGAACCGCCUCUGGCGUCAUGGCACUGCCCACCUGAUGCUCUGAAAGCGGGCGUUCCCUCGGACUCCUUGGUAACAGUGAGACUGGGGCAAGCGUUUCACUAAACACGUCACACCUCAGCCCUCCUGACAGUGCCCCGAGGUGACAACAGGCUGAGAGAACAGAUCUGGGAAGUGAAGCACCCUACUCACUCCCCAGCUGUGCCACCUCCGAAGUGUACAAUAAUGAGACCAGAGAACCACUGCCGUAUGUCGCUCACCCAAGCCUGCUGCCACUCCUCAGAGAGUGGAGACGUUCCAGGCAGAACUUACCACCGUGGAACCUUGCCUUUCGAAAAGCGUCUUAUUGACGGAAAACCAUAAAUAACCAGGAAGUGCUUGACCUCAGGGCUGGUCGGAGAUUUUCCUAUUCAAAUGUCAGCUUGGGUGGACUCCAGCAGCGAAGAGAGAAGAAAGACUUAACAGAGGAGGACACAGUUCUGGCCUAGACCUUUAACUUAAAUGAUUAACAGCGUGAAUUUUUAUAAGUUUUUAGAAGAACCAGUAUUUUGUUUACUGAAAUAAAAUGCAUUAUUCUUAAAAA